rnacentral:rRNA from 1 species
UACAGAGGGCAGCUACCUGGUGACAGGAUGCUAAUCCCGAAAGCCGGUCCCAGUUCGGAUUGGAGUCUGCAACCCGACUCCAUGAAGUUGGAUUCGCUAGUAAUCGCGCAUCAGCCAUGGCGCGGUGAAUACGUUCCCGGGCCUU